rnacentral:sRNA from 1 species
GGCCUUGGGGCAUCCGCGGUAGUUGGCUG